GUCUCUCAUCCCCUCUCUCUCUCUCUCUCUCUCUCUAGCUCAUCUCAAACCAAGCCUCUCUCUUUCUCUCUCUCUCUCUGUCUCUCAUUCAGUCCUCACUCUCUAUCUGACGGUGGUAGUGGUGUUUUUUUGGGUGAUUUUUUAUGGUGAUAUUGGUGUGGGUCUAGUGUUUUGCUUGCAAAAUCGGUGAGGAUUUGAUGGUCUGGUAGUUUUGGUGAUGGGUUUUGGUUGUGGGUAUGUGUCAUUUUGGCUGUGGUUCUGGUUACUUGCUUGCAAGGUCUAACGGGUUACUGGAAAGAUUGGCGUGGGGCUGAUGGUCUAGUAAUUUUGGUGAUGGGCUUUGGCCAUGGGUAUGGGUUGUUUUGGCUGUGUAUCUAUUGGUUUGCUUAUGAGAUCGGUGUGGAGUAGGGGUGUCCAGUGACCUGGACCAACUGACCUGCCCGCCCGAACUAAAGGCUCAGACCUCAGAAGCUCCCAACUCUCCCAGAAUGGCUUCAAUCAACCUCUACCAUUUCACUCUGUUGCUUCUGUCUUGUUUACAGUACUAAUGCUGGAAAAUAGAGGGGUCGAGGAAAGGCUAAAGGGAUCAAUGCCAGAGAUGGUGAAAUAGAGGUUGAGAUUUAUGAUGGCAAAAUUAUUACAACAAAAGCCACUCGAGAGAUUACCAUUUUUUUUCACCAGAAACUUAAUGGAGCUUGGACAACUUUGACAGAAUACCCAAAUUCUGAGCUAGAGACUUUAUAUGCUCGAUACCGAGCUUAACGCUUUAAGCAUAAGCAACCUGAUGAGGAAGUCAAGAAGGCAUUUAUAGAAUCAGUGAAACAUCGCUAUUCUGAUUGGAUGUUUCGCAUUAGAAGUCCUAUUUUUCAGAAGUACAAAGCGAAAGAAGAUCGUUACAAGAAUGGUCCUUCCUUCAUUCCUACACCUUUUUGGAAAGAGAUGGUGGAUAAAUGGAUGGAGGGAGAUUGAGGGGAGAUAAGUUCGACAAAUAAGGAAAACUGAAAUAAGUCUAAAAUUUCUCCACUACAAGUUCUAUACCAAUAGCCAAGUACAAAUAUGAAAUGUAUCUUGAGAUGGGCUCUGAGCUUGGCCCCAUUGAUUGCUUUAAGAAAUUUCACACAAAGAAGGAUGGCAAAGAAUGGACAACUGAUCAUGUUAAGACAUUAUACGAAAACAUGGAUGCCAUAAAGGCCAAAGUUGUUUUUGAAGGUACUAAGACAAAUGAUUAUCAAAUCUUUUGUGAAGUGGUUGGUGAACCAAAUCAUGGUCGUAUUUUUGGCAUGGGAAUAGGUAUUAAGGCUAAGGAUUUGUACGGCUUAACUUCAUCUGGUAAAGGUUGUAGCAAACAUUGUAGAGAAGAUUUUACAAAAAGAAGAUUUGGAGGCACAUCUUAGAGAGGAAAUGGAUUCCAAACUUGCAAAAGUUGUGGAGAAGCUUGAGGAGAAGUUUGCACAAAAGUUGCAGUUGAUAGACAUACCACAACAAUCUAAUGUAGAUCCAGCUACCACGAUACAUUCUCAAACUUAUGUUUUGCCUCUUGGAUCUUCUACAACUUUUUAUUGGUUUGUUGUGGUUUACAGCUUGCAUCUAUUAUAAUAUUAUAUUAUUUUAUAUUUAGUUUUGAUAAAUGAUAAUAGGACUAUGAAACUAUCUAUUGUUUUGACAGUUGUGUAUAUGUUUUGUAUUUAAUUUUGUGUAUCAUCUUUUUUGUGGUUUACAUUUUUCACAAUUGUUAUAUUAUUUUAAUUUAUAUUUAAUUUUGAUAGUGGUUUAAGUAAUCAAAUUAAGUUAUUGUUAUUGUAAAAUUAAAAAAAAAAUUUACCCUGAGUAGUUUAGGGAUACUAGAACUGGUAAUUGCUCAUGUGGUUGCUUUAUGCCUCCAUAAGCAGUCUGUAGGGAUGCUACACAAUGUUUUAAAUACAAAGCAGUGAAUAGCAAACCUGACUUUUUAACUAGUCUCAGAACCUCUUUACUGAAAAGGUAAGUUCAAUACAGCUUUCCUUGCUUAGCUUAUCCGAGACCAUAAGGAGUUUACUGUUGUUUAUGAUAUAUUAUUAUACGAUUAGAUUUGAUACGGUACAUGUGUACUUAUUUAUUGAAGCAUUGAUACAAAUACAAAUUCACUUUAAUUGUUUCAUUUUAAUUCAUGUUUAAUGUUUUUUAUUUUAUUUUAUUUUAUUCUUAUUAUUUUAAGGAUGGUACCAGCAGAGAUGAAGAGGACAACUCAAACAAUAACAUAGAGGUUGUAAACAACUUGAAGGGUGACUUGGAGGAAGACUAAUAUAGAUCUUGUCUUAAUUCUAGUUGUUUAAGUUUAAAGCAAGGUUUAAUUUCAGGAUUUCUUUGUAUAUUUUAUAUUUUAAAGUUUGAACUUAUAUGAAUUUUUAUCUUUUGAUGGAUCAAUUUUUAGUAAUUA